AGACCCGAAACCGGGUGACCUAUCCAUGGCCAGGUUGAAGCGGAAGUAAAAUUCCGUGGAGGACCGAACCACGUUGGUGUUGAAAAACCAUGGGAUGAGCUGUGGAUAGCGGAGAAAUUCCAAUCGAACUCGGAGAUAGCUGGUUCUCCCCGAAAUAGCUUUAGGGCUAGCGUCAGGUAAUUGAGUAAUGGAGGUAGAGCACUGAAUAGGCUAGGGGGCAUAUCGCUUACCGAACCUUAUCAAACUCCGAAUGCCAUUUACUUUUAUCCUGGCAGUCAGACUACGAAUGAUAAGAUCCGUGGUCAAGAGGGAAACAGCCCAGACCAUCAGCUAAGGUCCCAAAGUGUAAGUUAAGUGGUAAAGGAUGUGGGAUUUCUAAGACAACUAGGAUGUUGGCUUAGAAGCAGCCACUCAUUUAAAGAGUGCGUAAUAGCUCACUAGUCAAGAGAUCCUGCGCCGAAGAUGUCCGGGGCUCAAACUUACCACCGAAGCUAUGGAUAUACUAUGUAUAUGGUAGGGGAGCUUUCUGUACGGGUUGAAGUCGUACCGUAAGGAGCGGUGGACUGUACAGAAGUGAGAAUGCUGGCAUAAGUAGCGAGAAAUGAGUGAGAAUCUCAUUGGCCGAAAAUCUAAGGUUUCCUGAGGAAGGCUCGUCCGCUCAGGGUUAGUCGGGACCUAAGCCGAGGCCGAAAGGCGUAGGUGAUGGACAAUCGGUUGAUAUUCCGAUACCACCAUGAUCCGUUUGAGAAAUGGGGUGACGCAGUAGGAUAGGAUGUGCGCACUGAUGGAUGUGCGUCUAAGCACUUAGGAUGAUUGAACAGGCAAAUCCGUUCAAUCUUAAGUCUGAGGUGUGAUGGGGAGUGAAAUUUUAGUAGCGAAGUAUCCAAUUCCACACUGCCAAGAAAAGCCUCUAUCGAGGAAAAUGGUGCCCGUACCGCAAACCGACACAGGUAGAUGAGGAGAGAAUCCUAAGGCCAGCGGAAGAAUUGUUGUCAAGGAACUCGGCAAAUUAACCCCGUAACUUCGGGAGAAGGGGUGCCUACGAGAGUAGGCCGCAGUGAAUAGGCCCAAGCAACUGUUUAGCAAAAACACAGGUCUCUGCUAAAGCGAAAGCUGAUGUAUAGGGGCUGACGCCUGCCCGGUGCUGGAAGGUUAAGGGGAUUGGUUAGCGUAAGCGAAGCCUUGAACUUAAGCCCCAGUAAACGGCGGCCGUAACUAUAACGGUCCUAAGGUAGCGAAAUUCCUUGUCGGGUAAGUUCCGACCCGCACGAAUGGCGUAAUGAUUUGGGCACUGUCUCGACAACAAAUCCGGUGAAAUUGAAUUGGAGGUGAAGAUGCCUUCUACCCGCGAUUGGACGGAAAGACCCCGUAGAGCUUUACUGUAGCUUAGCAUUGAAUUUCGGUAUUGUCUGUACAGGAUAGGUGGGAGACUUAGAAGCAGGGGCGUCAGCUUCUGUGGAGUCAUCCUUGGGAUACCACCCUGACAGUAUUGAAAUUCUAACCGGAGGCCAUGAAUCUGGUCACGGGACAUUGUUAGGUGGGCAGUUUGACUGGGGCGGUCGCCUCCUAAAAAGUAACGGAGGCGCCCAAAGGUUCCCUCAGCGCAGUCGGAAAUUGCGCGAAGAGUGUAAAGGCAGAAGGGAGCUUGACUGCGACACAUACAGGUGGAGCAGGGACGAAAGUCGGGCUUAGUGAUCCGGUGGUUCCUCGUGGGAGGGCCAUCGCUCAACGGAUAAAAGCUACCUCGGGGAUAACAGGCUGAUCUCCCCCAAGAGUCCACAUCGACGGGGAGGUUUGGCACCUCGAUGUCGGCUCGUCGCAUCCUGGGGCUGAAGUCGGUCCCAAGGGUUGGGCUGUUCGCCCAUUAAAGCGGCACGCGAGCUGGGUUCAGAACGUCGUGAGACAGUUCGGUCCCUUUCCGUCGCGGGCGUAGGAAAUUUGAGAGGAGCUGUCCUUAGUACGAGAGGACCGGGAUGGACCAACCUCUGGUG
rnacentral:rRNA from 1 species